rnacentral:lncRNA from 1 species
GGACAGGGCCGCGCACACGGCAGCCCGGAGCACGCUGCGCAACUCCGCCUCAACAAGCGAGGGAGGGCCGGGCGGGCGCCGCUCGCCACGGCGAAGGGGCUGGAUAGGGGGAGCGUGGGAAGAGAGGAGCCCCCCGGCUGCCGGUCCCACCUGGCGGGUCCCUCCCGCCCGCCGCCCCUCCCUCACUCACCCUUUGCAUGGCUUUCAGGAUCAAAGCCAGUUCAUAGCGGGGCAUCGCAGAGCUCGGCUGUGGCGGGAGGAGCGGGGAUUGGCGAGGCACAGGGGAAGAAGAGGGGGGCGACGGAGGAGGAGAGGAGGAAAGCGCUGCCCCGGCGCUGCUGGCAGCGGCUUCCACCCGCGCGGUUCCCGGGCUGCACACACACCGAGCGGACGGGCGGGCGGCGCGGCUUAAAGGGCGCCGGCAGCUGCGCACGCUCCGCCGCGCCGCCCCCUGCCCGCCGCAGGCACCGCCUCCGCCGCCGCGGCCUCGCGAGCAACUGCCCGCCCGGCGGCUGUCCCGCCGCCCCGGUCCCCGGGGCGCUGAGUGGGGGACGCCCGGCACCGGGGAGGGGGCUCCGAGUCGGGCGGGCCGAGCGGCUGGGCGGGAGCCGCCUCUCCCCUGCGGCGGUUCGGGGCCUGCGCCAGCCUUCCUCCUCGCCGCCGCCGCGGUGGUGGCUGCUGUGGCUGCUGCAGGGAGUGGAAAUUUCCACUGUGUCCGCCCCCUGCUCCCCCCGCCGCGCACACGCGCGCACCCGAGACCGCACGCGGCGGGGGAGAGGACGGUGGCGGGAAGCCCCCGGGGCCACCGGUCCCACGCAGGCGGGUGAGGUGCCCGCAGGUGGGUACCCGCAGGCUCCCUUCCAGAACCUUCCACGGCCCCGCCAGGGUGAUUGUGUGGCCGGGGUGCCCCUCACAAGAGCAGUGCCCGUAUCGUUGGGGUCGUAUUUCUCCACCGCAUGGAUACAUCUCUCUGGGGCACCCCCUUCACUCACGUUGGAGCCAACCUGUCUCCUGUUUCCCAGGGGGAAGCCCUGCAUCCUUGCCUCUGAUUAUUCUGUUCCCAAACGGUAG